CCACCCAUCCAUUACCGCUUUUUCCCGAUCGGGGUCUCAGGUGCUGGAGCCAAUCCCAGCUGUCAUUGGAUGAAGAGGCGGGGUUACACCCUGGACUGAACGCCAGAACGACAGACAACCAGCCACACUCACGUUCAGACCUACAGCACUCAGGUGUGGGAAGUAGCGGUGCAGAGGAUGCUGCAGCACCACAAUCAGACACAGACACAAAAGACAGGAGAGAUG